AUUGAACGCUGGCGGCAGGCCUAACACAUGCAAGUCGAACGGUAACAGGGAUCAGCUUGCUGAUUCGCUGACGAGUGGCGGACGGGUGAGUAAUGUCUGGGAAACUGCCUGAUGGAGGGGGAUAACUACUGGAAACGGUAGCUAAUACCGCAUAACGUCGCAAGACCAAAGAGGGGAACCUUCGGGCCUCUUGCCAUCGGAUGUGCCCAGAUGGGAUUAGCUAGUAGGUGGGGUAACGGCUCACCUAGGCGACGAUCCCUAGCUGGUCUGAGAGGAUGACCAGCCACACUGGAACUGAGACACGGUCCAGACUCCUACGGGAGGCAGCAGUGGGGAAUAUUGCACAAUGGGCGCAAGCCUGAUGCAGCCAUGCCGCGUGUAUGAAGAAGGCCUUCGGGUUGUAAAGUACUUUCAGCGGGGAGGAAGGGAGUAAAGUUAAUACCUUUGCUCAUUGACGUUACCCGCAGAAGAAGCACCGGCUAACUACGUG
rnacentral:rRNA from 1 species